UCCUCUGUUUUCCUCCGCCCGCCGGAGAAGAUACGGAAUGAUCUGCUCGACGCGGCCGUAGGGCAAGUACUUGCUCACUCUGUAUCCGGCGUUUCUCAGCCCGAACGAAAGAGGAUCCGCCAUUCCAUACAGCUGAGCGAAAUGGAGGCGCUCGCUGCCCUUGUCGAUUCCCAAAUCCACCGCUUUCGCAGCCGCCAUUUUGCCUGAUUCAUUCGUAAUUAACUAACCAGUGAGAGACGGAUUAAAAAUAAAAUAAAAUAAAAUAAAAUUUGCGGAGAAUGAUGGAGUAGGUGAGAAACGCGUGACUCUGACUCACCUGACUCCAUGUUGUGCGUGGCGAGCACGAGGGAGCCGGAGCCGCGGGCGAUCUGGUGCAGCAUGAAAUCUGCGCAGUCGUUGUAGCAGGCGUGGGUGUUGUGGAUGGUGUCGUGAACCGGGGACUGGACCCCGAGAGAAUCGGCGAGUCGGUUUUCGGAGGCCAUGUAGGCGCCUCUGACGAGCUUGAU
rnacentral:lncRNA from 1 species